AUAUUUACCUUGCAGGAGAGACCCACGUUCAUAAAGGUGGCUUCCCCAGGGCAAAGCUCAUCCAUUUCAUUCCUGGGGUGCUGACCCCAUGGUUUCCCCAGACACGCCACAAUUUGUGUUAGUGAAGGACUGAAUUGGCACUCUCCCUUCC
ensembl:snRNA U1 U1 spliceosomal RNA